UCUGCCAGAGGAAAAAAAAAACAUUCUUGGCAGAGUUAUUGCUCAAGAGGAAUAUACAUAUGAUUUUGAUGCAGAAAGCGAAGAAGAAGAGAAUGUGCAUACCUGAAGGAAAACGUUGGCAUUCAGAUAUCUUGCUUUGCAGGCAAAUACUACAGGAGAGUCAAGAGGGGAGUUGUCAGCCCUCAACAUCUGCCCUAUGGAGCACCAUCCUCCUCAGAGAUUGGGAUAGCCACCACUUUUCUGGUCUAUCAUAA